UUUGAAGGAAAAGCCUUCUUUUUUUAGCUAAAAUGGGAAGAAAUGCCUUCUCACUGGCCAUCAAAGUAGCAACAAUCCACAUUCUGAUCAAAGACAGUAGAAAGAAAACGCAGUGGAACAUAUCCAAUUAUGAUUCUCUAUAUUUAAACUCGAUCACAAUUACAAAGAGGAGUGGAGGAGAAAAAUGUAAAGAUAAAGGGUUCAUCAAUCAUGACCAUUGCCUAACAACGAUCAUGAGAUCAAAAUUUUGUACCAUUCCAAUCCAAUAAUCUUAUUUAUGCCCUCAUUUAUUGUUCAUGCUGUUGCCCCAGGUGAAACAUCCAGUACCAAUAAUAAGCUCAAGCCCAAAAUACCCCCUUGCUCUCCUUUCUCCGGCGACACGAGAACGCACUCCCUCCUCUAGCCUGUCCCUCCUCCACCGCCAACUCGUCGUCCACCGCCG
rnacentral:lncRNA from 1 species